GUAUACCGUAAAUAAUCUUAGAACGUUAUUUACUUUGGUUUUUACAAAAAUACUGACGAACAGUCAAUCAUACAAGUAUUUCUUAUUCUUAUCGAAAAUUCGGCCGUCGAGCAGCAAGGCUAAUUUUCAUAAUAUUCAGCAAGUGAAAAAAUCUAAGUACAAAUGGAAUGCAAAUAUACCAUCUUGUUGCAUAGAUCGAUUGCCAGGUGAACAUUUUCUCAUUUCAUGUAGAAACGGUGUGAUAGGUGCAGAUUAUCUUCCUGUGACAAUCAAGUUUGACCACAAAACCAAAACUUUACAACCUACACUUAGUAAUGGCACGCACUGGAUUGAUGUUUGUUCAACAACAGAUGAAGAAUGUUUACGACAAACGGAUUUAGACAAGCAAGAAUAAUAAAAGUGCUUUUGAAGCACAUGGAUGAAUUGAACGGCCCUGUCAAGUCCUGUGCAAACAGUAAACCAUUCAUUACAGUGUCGUGAGAGUACUGGGCCC